CAUUAAUAAGCUAAAUUCAUGAUAAUAUAACAUUGAAAGCUUAACUUAAGAUAAACUAUCAAUGCAUGUCUAUAUUAAGAAGACUAAGCAUGUAAAUUAAACGUUGAAGAAAUUUACGAAAAAACAACGGGAAUAAAAAGUUUGUAAUUUUGUAUUUUUUGGUAUUUUUAGCGGUAAAAAUUAUAAGGUCUUGAGUGAGAAAGUAUCGACUAAUUGUGCCCGAGGAUUGUCAAGGAUCUCGCAGCGAACAACCCAUACGGCAAAAUCGAUAACAGAAGCAUCAAGCGGCGCACACGAGUCCACUCGAUCGCCGCCAUUAAGAUGUAGCACACGAUUCGUCAUCCAACUCGAGGCAAGCAGGCGCCGAUCCUGUGCCAAGCAGAUGUUCGAGGGAAGGCACCAGAGCAGUGACACCUGAGAGCGAAAAGGUAUCCCAACAGCAGCAACCGAUAAAGUCGCAAUAACUGUAGCGAUGGAAGGAUGGAUUAGUCAAAACUCGCGCGACGAAGAAAUCAAAACUCACUAGCUUUAAUACACAACCAAAACUCUUGCCGCGGCGACCAAUGCAAAUGAACCGUUAAGCGAGUUGAAGGCGCUGGAAAUACGAGAACGCAUUACGCGUGCACGCAAAACAUACGAUAACUAUUUACAAAUCCAAGCAAAAAUAGAUAAAAUAAGUAGCAACAAGAAAGAGACCAAACAGUAUCGCGAGUGUUUCGAAACGGAUUAUUUCCAAACAGUGGCACAAGCCGAAUGAUUACUCACUCGUCAUCUCCGUAAUGCAAAUAUACACAUAACUAAUACAGGUCUAACAGCGAAUAUAGGUUAUAAUAUGCCGAUACAAGGAGAAUCGUCACAAGCGGCUACGCAAGCCCUUCCAAAUGUAGCCAAACAAGCAAAUCAACAUAUUAUUCUAAAAGUAGGAGGCAUCAGAUUGCCAACUAUCGAAUUACCAAAAUUCAAAAGCAAAAUAUCUGAUUAACUUAGUUUUAGAGACACAUUUGAGUCUCUCAUUCACAAAAAUGAAGCGAUAAAUCCUAUACAAAAACUUCACUAUUUAAAGGCUUUGUUGGAAGGUCCUGCAGCGAAAAUUAUUAAAUCGUUAGAGUUUUCCGCAUUAAAUUACACUGUGGCAUGGAAUGCAAUUUGCGAUCGUUUCAACAAUAAGAGGUUGCUCGCUCAUAAUCAUAUUAAAGCCAUUUUUAAUAUAAAUAGCAUAAAACAAGAGUCCGCGUGUUAAAUUCGCGAAACUAUAGAUAUCUUGAAUAAACAUUUAAGAGCUUUAGAACAAUUUACAGAGUAUUGGGAUACACUAUUAAUAUAUCUGAUCUCAACAAAAUUGGACAACGUCACAGCAAGAGCCUAGGAAAAGGAAAGAGCAGGCAACGAUAUCCCCACAUUAGAAGAAUUCAAGACAUUUUUAAACUCAAGGGCAGAUUGGACAGCAUUGAGCGAGAGGAGUGCUUCAAAGGCAAAACAAGCGGAACGCCCUAAGAUAAAGGCAUUGCUCCUUCAAAAACAAAGAUGUAGUCUUUGCAAGGAGAUGCACCGACUAGCAAAUUGAGAAAAAUUUCUCGAGCUCUCGCCGCAGGCCAGAACCGAGCAUUUAAAAAAGGUAAAACCCGGCAAACAAGCAAUUCGUAACAUAGCAAAGAAUAAUUUACCUAACAGGGAUUGGAGUAGUUUCCGAAGGAACGACGAUAAUACAAAAUCUAAAACUUUAUAUUUUAUCGGUAUAAAUUAUAGCGCUUCAAGUACCGGAGUAUCGCUUCAUUCGGCGCGUUGCAAAAGAUACUUUACUCUUGAACCUAACAGGGAUUGAAGUAGGUUCCGAAGAAACGACUGUGGUACAAAAUUUGAAACUUUGUAUUUUGUUGUUAUAAAUUAUAGCGCCUGGAAUGCCGAAGUAUCGUUUGGUUCCGCUCGUUGCAAAGGUAUUUUACUCUUAAACCUAAUAGAUUUGUGUUAAAUUGGGGGUUGUUUGUGAGGAAUGGAUCAAUAUAUUAACUUUUUCUUGAUGGUACAAAUUAGUACAAAUUUAGUUCUGAUUUCUACUUUUGUUUUCUUUUUUCAUUUUUUUUCAAUGCGGUCCUGCUAGCUUAAUAUUUAGCUACGUACGUCACGUGUUUUUUUUUUUUAACGGCAAAGGGUACAAAAUUUUUUUCUUGUGGUACAAAUUAGUACAAAAUUAGUACUAAAUAAUUGAAUGGGUCGUUUUAUUUUACUCAUUUGGUCUUGCUAGCUUAUAAGAGGUAAUUUCCUAGACUUUUAUAUACAUUUUCUAGCCUAAUCUACGCGCUACAUAUUUGUCUAAAACAAUAAAAUGUAUACGAAAUCAUCUAGGAAAUUUUUAUUUAAACUAAAAUUCGUUCUGACCGUUGUUGGCUAUUUUAUAAUUUAAAAAAACAUUUCGUGUAAAGGGCAAUCAAAUGAAAA